UCUGCAUGCAGAGCCUCUAUGAUGAUCUACCCUACUGAUAAAGAUAAAAUGAUCAGGACGUGUAAACCCCUCAGUCUGUUUCCAACCUUGCAAUGUACUUGUCAUAGAAUUUGCCAGCACGCUCAAGGUCUCCAAGUUCAGUAUAACAAUCUGCUAUUGCCCCGUAAGCCUCUGUGUUCCCAGAGUUCUCUCCUUCUCGUUCAGAGAUCGCAAGAACCAAUGAGUGAUAUUUAAUGGCUUCACGAUACUUUCCCUGCCUUUGCAGUGAGGCCCCUAAACCUCUUGCAGCCUUCUUCUCCUCUAUUGAAUCCUUUAGACUCUGAGCAAGCUCAAGAGCUGUCUUAAACUCUACAAAUGCCUUCUCUGGAUCUUGAUUCCUCAAAAAAUUCUUUCCAGUUUUUAACCGAGAAAUCAAUUCCUGCUUUCUUGGAUCAACAAUCACUUCAUUCUCUGCAAUUCUACUACCAAUAGGAGCAUAACUCAAGCUGGGGGCGUAGGACUCAAUUUUAGCCUGCCUUCUUAGAGCUGCAUUGAUUUGGCGCAAUUGUUCAUUCAGCCGUUCCAACUCCCCUCUCCUCUGUCGUGCAAGCAAUCCUCCAACAGUAGCUCCUAUGAGAGCCACAAAUAGUAGCAAAGGCAUGUUGAAGAAAGAAUUGUCAGCCUCACAUGUUUCAGCUAAAGCUUCAAAAGGGGUAGUCCACAUCAAGGCAUUAACAAAAAAUGCCAUUGCCGAGGAUCUCAAUUUUAAAUCACCCAUCAUACCUGAUAUUUGAAUGACUUCUCCUUGCACUGCAGGCCUCAGAUGUACACCUUCGGUCUUUGCUAACUUGUGGCGAAAAGGAGAUGGUACACUGAAGGCAUCUCCAAAUGAUGAUGCAAACCUUUCUACUUUAAACAAAAGUGAAUCCAAUUUCCCGGGAAGAUGAAGAUUGCCGGAGAUGACGAGAUCGGACGGUGGAGAAGUGACAGAAUAUGGACGGGCAAGGAAGCAAGCGCUACGGAUUACUACCGCCAUUUGGUUUGAAG
rnacentral:misc_RNA from 1 species